UACGUAGGGUGCGAGCGUUGCCCGGAUUUAUUGGGCGUAAAGGGCGCGUAGGCGGUCGCGCACGUCCGUUGUGAAAUCGCUCGGCUCAACUGGGCGGGGUCAGCGGAUACGGCGUGGCUGGAGCAAGCUAGGGGGCAAUGGAAUUCCCGGUGUAGUGGUGGAAUGCGUAGAUAUCGGGAGGAACACCAGUGGCGAAGGCGGUUGCCUGGAGCUUUGCUGACGCUGAUGCGCGAAAGCGUGGGGAGCGAACAGG
rnacentral:rRNA from 1 species